GCCAGGUGUGCUGAUGCAUGCCUGUAAUCCCAGCUACUUGGGAGGCUGAGGCAGGAGGAGCUUGGGCACUUUAACAAGAUCCUUUCUCAA
rnacentral:sRNA from 1 species